UACAUGUGGGGCAAGCGUUGUUCGGAAUUACUGGGCGUAAAGCGUGCGCAGGCGGUUCUAUAAGACAGAUGUGAAAUCCCCGGGCUCAACCUGGGAACUGCAUUUGUGACUGUAGAGCUGGAGUGCGGCAGAGGGGGGGUAGAAUUCCACGUGUAGCAGUGAAAUGCGUAGAGAUGUGGAGGAACACCGAUGGCGAAGGCAGCCCCCUGGGUCAAGAUUGACGCUCAUGCACGAAAGCGUGGGGAGCAAACAGG
rnacentral:rRNA from 1 species